rnacentral:rRNA from 1 species
GGUCGGACGGUCAAAGGACGGGGCUCCUUCGGGACCUGUCGCCCUGGGAGGGAUUCAUGUCCUAUUAGCUUGUUGGUGGGGUGACGGCCUACCAAGGCUUCGAUGGGUAGCCGGUCUGAGAGGACGGUCGGCCACACUGGGACUGAGACACUGCCCAGACUCCUACGGGAGGCUGCAGUCGAGAAUAGUUCAUAAUGCGCGAAAGCGUGAUGACGCGACGCCGCGUGGAGGAUGAAGGCCUUCGGGUCGUAAACUUCUGUGAGGGGCUAUGAACCUCGCGGACCCUAACAUGGUCCGCGACUGACCUCAACCCCACAGCAAGCUCCGGCUAACUUCGUGCCAGCAGCCGCGGUAAUACGAAGGGAGCAAGCGUUGUUCGGAAUUACUGGGCAUAAAGGGUGCGUAGGCGGACAGGUGUGUCGGGCGUGAAAGCCCACGGCUCAACCGUGGAACUGCGCUCGAAACUGCCUGUCUUGAGUGGAGGAGAGGAGAGUGGAACUCCAGGUGGAGCGGUGAAAUGCGUUGAUAUCUGGGGGAACGCCAGUGGCGAAAGCGGCUCUCUGGUCUCUUACUGACGCUAAGGCACGAAAGCCAGGGUAGCGAACGGGAUUAGAUACCCCGGUAGUCCUGGCCGUAAACGAUGGGCACUAAGUGGAGGGAG